AUAAAGAACUUGGACUUGAUAAUGAAACUAGUGACAUGUGAACUAGUGUAAUGGAGAUCGUAUGCAUGUAGCAUUAUGAAUGGAUUGCAUGCUAGUUGAUAAUGGCAUAUUAGCAUUAUGAAGAUGUAUACUAGAUGUAUGAUGCAUGUUGGCUUUAUAGAACAUAUAUGCUAGAUGAAAAUGAAUGUUAACCUAUUGUUAAUUAUGGAGAUUAUGAGGCAUGUGGCAUCUAAACCUAGUGUCUUGAACCUAGGAUAGAUCGAGUGGCAUUAACAUAAUGUUGUUAAACAUAGGUUGACAUUAAACCUAGUGUUGUGGAACCUAGAGUUGAUUAGACCUAGGUGAGUGGCAUCGAGAUUUAGUGUGGUUGAGACACUUGACAUGGACCUAGGGAUAGGUGGAUUAUCAAGUGAUUGUUAACCUAGUUAACAGGGUAUCCUCAGUUGGCGAGGAUUGGAUCAUACUCACAUAGUCUGUUUUGGGCUUGUGGCGGUCGCUCCCCACAAGCAGUGCACUCCGGAGUUGUCACACGAGCUGGGUAGCUCACGAGCGGGGUAGCUCAUCGGGUGGGAUACGAGCGGGGUAGCUCCCCACCCAUUGGACUGGGAAGUGAGUCGGGCGAAGGGCGGGGUAGCUCUUCACCUGUGAGAUUUGAGUGGGGUAGCUCUUUACCUACGAGCGGGGUAGCUCUUUACCUACGAGCGGGGUAGCUCUUGACCUUUGAGUUUGAGUUAGAGUUGGGGGGAAGAGCGGGGUAGCUCUUUACCGUAGCAUUAGAGUUGUGAGACGGGUGGGACAAGGGCGGGGUAGUCCUUCACCUAUGUGGUUGAGAUCUUAGGCGGGGUAGCCUAGUGGAUUGGGUAAUGACAUGAAUAGCAUAAGUGGAUUUGCAUUCAUACCCUGAUUAGACAUAGUAUAUGUUAGUGGAUUGCAUAACUAUGUCGUAUUUGUAUUCAUUACAUCGUUGAAGCAUAUUAUCAUGAUAGUAGGCUUAUUGCUAGUUGAUAUUUCAUGCAUUGCUUGCAUUUGAUGGCACAAUAGAUCAUAGUUGCAGUUCAAUAUCUAUCUAUCUCUCUAUCUAUCUAUCUGUGCCAGCUUAGACCUAGUGGGAAGAUCGGCGGAGUCGGCGGCCGAACCCACUGGGAACUAUAUCUUUAUAGUUCUCACCCCGUGUGGUUUUGGGGUACAGGUACACACGUGAGCGGACCGGCAGGUGAUCGCGGUAAGGGCGUAGCGCCCUAGCUAGCUAGUAGAGCUUUCCUAUUGUACUAGAGCACCCUCGUGUGCAUGGUUAUAGAUGACAUGAUGUAUUUUGGAUAGCUAGCAUUA
rnacentral:lncRNA from 1 species